CAUUUCUAUAUAUUUUUCUUUCCCUGUUAGUUUUUAGUUUUUUUCUGAAAGAUUGCUUCUUUUUAGUCUUUAGAAUAUGCUGGUAAUGGACUCAGGGCUAAAAGUUCAUUUUGUGUGGUUGAAUGGGCUAGUACCUGUAGAAUGACCUUGAGUGAGAAUAAUUUUUCUCAAAUAUAUUUUAACUUUGAUUUUGUAGUAUCAAUUUUCAUCCAAAUUGUCUUCUCUUUUUGAGAGACGUUAGAAGAGCUGCUGAGAGUAGAAGCGUGGUAGAAGUAGGGGAACAAGAAACAUUAAAACAAUUAUGGAAACCCUCCCAUGCCAAACCUUUAUGUAUAAAAUAUAGGAGUAACUAUUGGAAAAAGUUAAACACUUGUAACAAGAACUUGUUUAUAGUGGUCUGAAGGAAGUUAAUUACAACUAAUGGACUGAAUAUGUGAAAAGGAGAUAUUUCUCCCAAGGAGUUCUAUUCACUUUGGCGUAAUCCUCUAAGGAAAUAAUGUUUCGUGUAAAGUGUGAUCUAACCUGAGAAAAAUGACACAAUGUUUGAAUCAGUAAUAACAUCCUGACAAGGUAGGGUAAUAUUUUUUAUAUUAUAUCCCAUUUCUCAUUUCAGUUUCUUACGUGAACUAUGUGUUACUCCUGUUACAGAGAAUGACAGGCAGUGACUACCAUUUAUUGAAUCACCCUUUGUGCUGGUAACUGAACUGUGAGAGUUUGGAUGAUCCUCCUCGGCAGCAGCGGCAGGCAUUGUUAGUUUCAAUAGGAGGCCUGGAUGCACAAGAACAGUCAUCCUAGAGAGCCAGGCUCUCGGGGUCCGUUCCUUCGCACCACGGUGCUGUGUUAGAUCACUUUCUCCUGCUGGAUUAAUGACCAGGAAAAAAGGGUAACAAACUAUACCCAAAGGAAUCCAAUUAAAGUACUUGAACUUCACUCACGUCCAUCCUAUCAUUUUCUUAACUUCCUAACAUAGGCUUAAUUAUUCUGACCAGUAGAAAGGAAUAGCAUGAAUAAGAGAGUUAUCUCAAAAUCCUUAUUUUCUUUAGUUUGAAAGGUUCAAAAUCUUGUUGUAUAAGAUGAAAUAAUAAUCUGUGUUUGGUAUGGUUGAACUUUUUUUGGGUUGUUUUUUCUCUCUCUUCUCUAAUAUCUUCACCAAGGUCACUGCCAGGACUGAUUGUAUGAAACUGCUCAGCCCUUACAAUUUUAUCUCUGUUCACAGUCUACACUGCAGCAUUAGUUCAUUCUGGACUCUUCGGCUUCCUUGAAUUCCCAAUUGAUUCCACUCCCAUGACUGUGAUAUUCUUUUCCUAGUUAAUCAAGAAUUCUCUAUUUCUGCUCUGUCAUCCAUGCCACUGUAAGUGGGAAAGUAGUUUAGGCUUUGGCUCUCAGCCUCAUCAUUUCUGAAAUGACCUCCUCUGAUUCUAAAGUUCUGUGUCUAAAAUACAAACUAGGAUUUCCGGUAAUAAAAACUUAUGUGUGUAUGAUGACUGAUAGUUUUCAGUCUUUUCAUAUGUUUUAUUUUAUAUAAUUCUGACCAUGGUUCUGUGAGAUGGGGGAGAACAGGUUUUAUUGUCUCUUGUUUUCAGAGAAGGAUCCUGCAGCUCAGGGAGAUGAAGUGUCUUACCCACGUCCAAUAAUUAGUAACUGGCUGAACCUGAACUUAAAAUUCAGUUUUUCCCACAUUAAGGUGAUGGUUUCUUCUAGUAGGAAGUUUCUUUCCUAUAGCCUAAAUUUCUUCAUUUAUUAACUAUAAGUUUUGGUGUAUGUGAGUGUGUAUGUUCUUGCUCUGGGAAGGGGCUUCCUUAUGCUUAAAUGAGUUUGGGAUGGAAUUUUGUGACUUUAGUUUUUAUCAGUGAAGGAGUCUCCUAGGAUUUCUAAUUAAGAAAGACAAGGAAUGUGCUACCUUUCUAGUAUGAAUUUUGGUGUUAUUGUAAGCCCCUCUAUCAAAUUUGAUUGCAUUUUUCAAUUAUAAAUCUAUUCUGCCAGAAACCUAAUAUACCUAUUAGAUAAUAUUCUUUGUGAUUAAGGAAGAUAAGAAAAUAGUAGGGGCUGGCCCCAUGGCUGAGUGGUUAAGUUCACGCACUCUGCUUCGGCAGCCCAGGGUUUCGCUGGUUUGGAUCCUGGGCACAGACAUGGCACUGCUCAUCAGGCCAUGCUGAGGCAGCGUCCCACAUGCCACAAUUAGAAGGACCCACAAUUAAAAAUACACAACUAUGUACCGGGGGGCUUUGGGGAGAAGAAGAAGAAGAUAAAAGAAGAUUGGCAACAGUUGUUAGGUCAGGUGCCAAUCUUUAAAAAAAGAAAAGAAAAGAAAAGAAUAGAAGCCCUCUUAGCCAAUCCCUUCUUCAGGCCAAUAGGAUACUCUCUGAAAAAUGGUGCACUUCUGUUUAUCUGUUUACCUGCUGGUAUGCUUACCUAGAGUCAUUUGUAUUUGUUUUCAAAUUUGUUUAUGCCCCUUGAAUGUGCAGUUAUAAUUUAAUUAUGCAAACUGAUGAAAUAUGAGUAGAAAGGUAUAAAGGGUUGUUGAUUUUAUGAAGUUUAAGUUGACUGCUUUGUAAAGACUUUUUAAAGUGAAUCACUAAAACCAAUUACGGUCUAAAUACGUGAAGGCUAGACAACUGUAAGAGAUUGCCUGGGGUAGGGGUAGGGGAUGAAUGUAAAAAUUCUGGAAGGAUCCUGCAUUCAACUUGUUUUGCAAAUCCCUUUAAGCACACACUGACUUUAAAUAAACCAGAAGCUUUAAACUCUCACUGACUUUAAGUAGAUGAUACAUUGUGGUACAGUUUAAGCAAGAAGAAUAAUGUGACUUAGAUGAUCAGGAGUCAACAACAGCUCUUGGUCCUACAUCUAAAGUUUGGUUAAUAGGUGUAAAAUUUUAUGUUUUAACGCUAAAUAUGUUAAAAUUGCUUUAACCAAUAUCUUUCUGUGUCUCAGUAUCCUGUGUAAAAUGAAGAUGAAAAUAAUUUUACCUAACAAGUUUUUUUUUGAGUGUGUGAGGAUUACAUGAGAUAAUAGAACAAAGCCUGGCACGAGUACUAAAAAUGUUAGCCACCGUCAUUGACAUCAUCAUCAUCAUCUGAGAGUAUCUGCUGUAGGGCUUAUGUACAUUUAUAUGAAAAACGUAAUCACCGCUACCAGCUAUUGGUAGCAAGACAUAAUAGUUCUGUUUGGGUUGACAGUGAAACUAUCCAUUUUCACCCACACCCCAUCCUUUUUUCAGGAUUUAUGAGAAGAGGAAGUUUGACUUUACCUUUCUCAGGAAAUGCUGAGACCUGAAAUUGUUCAUGAAGCGUUAGUGAAAGGGCUAGGUGUAGUCUGAGCUGAAGACUGUUAAAAGGGUUGGAAUGUGGAGAGUUGAAGUUGUUUAAGUUUAAGAUACAUUGUUGCUGGACUUGUAUAGAAUGCUUACACUGAGCCUAGAUCUAGCCAAGGUGUUUCUCACUUAAAUGAACACUAAGCUUCACAUAGUUCUCUCGCAAUUGUAAAUAGAGAAAUAAAGGAGAAAAAAAAAUUGUUUUGACAAACAAGUCUGGUAGCUAAACUUGAAUGGCAUGGUAGUGAGAAUACUGAUUGUAAGGCUAGGCAUUGCACUGUAUGCCAUCAAUUCCUAAAUGCUUCCGCAGUGUAGGUUACAAGUUUUCAUUAAUGAACCCACAUUUAGAAACUGCUUUUUGGAGGAGGAUUAAGAUUUUACGUGCUUUCUGUCUGAAUGCUGCCACCCACAUUUCCAUAUCAUUCACAUCCUGUUUUCCUACCUAAGAAUGUGGUCCUCAUAGGAAAGAGGCUCAGACUUCAAGGUCGGAGACAACACCCACUGGACUGAUAGUUUCCUGCUUGAUUUGAAUGUAUAAGGGUUGAUUCAGUGCUGGUCACACUAGAGUGAAUGCUCUAUCAAUGGUUCCUUUUUUGUUGGUAUUAUUCAAAUAAGCGAUACUAUUCUCCUUCUAUAGAUUAUUUACAUAGCACUUCCAGAAUUAUUAAAAAUAAAGCAAGUAGGUAGCAAAGUGGAAUUUAAGACAUUUUCCAGAGUUGAAAAAUUUUUGGAAUGAUAUAAUCUAAAGUUAUUAAGUACCCAUUUAUGUCCUUAAAUAGUACAAGUAUCAUCAUUCAUCGCUUUCUAUGCCUAUUAUGGAAUUUAGGUUUAUUUGUUUUUUAUAUUGCAGUCCAUCCUUACCUGUCAUAAAGCUUUUGGAUAAAAGAAAUAUUGUCUUUCUACUUCAUGGCUCAUUAUAACUUUGGGAUUACCUUAGCUCACACAACAUACAUUUUCCUACCCAUGGAUAUUAUUCAAAUUUCUCUUCUACUCUGUCUUUCCUGUGCAUUCAUUUCAAUCACUAUAUGUCCUAUAAAUUUUGUCUGUCCUCAGCCUUUUGCCCUCAGCUGUGACUUUAUAUAUGUUCCUUUGCUCUUCUGUAUGUCAGCAUUUGUUAACAUGUAUCCCUCUUUCUAACCUACACUUUUAUUCCUUAGUUUGAUUUAAAUUUCACCUAUUUUUUUUCUUUAGCCACACCAUAUCCAUAGAGUUAUUUUAUAUGAGGGCAACAGUGGAACUUAUAAAAACUAGGUAGUAUUCCAGGAAAUAGCAAUCUUUGCCCUGAAGUACAGUAGGCUAGGUAUUCAAGCUUCUACCUAGCGAAGAUCUACCUUUUAUGUCCUUUUGUUAUGCAAGAUAUUUUUAAGGAGGUAGGAUUCAAGAGAAUUUCCUUCUUCAUAUGAAAUUCCUGUCAGUCAAUAUGAUAUUCAGAACCGCUUACUAAGCACCUUUUUAGGCAAAGAAAAGAGCCAGUCUCAGUUUGGGUGUGUUCUGUUCUUGAUUCAUUUCCCUGGGGCCCAGCCUCUUAUAUUUGAAAUUUUAGGUUGUGAAUUAAGGCAUUUCUAUAAACUGGCCUGGGAUGAUGCAUUGCUAAGCUUCAGGUGAUGGGUUCAUACGUCACGAGCAGUGUUUUGCUGUGUCAAUAAAAUUAAGGUAGGAAAGCAAGUUGGCUUCAGUGCCAAAUAGUGGUCAGAAUAUCACGGAACGUGAGGUUGGUGUGGUAGCAGCAGCAUGCAGUUAGGCACACGUGCAUGCACAGUGGUGCUGUUCCUAUUCUGUUUGGAAGGCAGUUUGGACAUCAUUACAAUAAUAUGAAAGGCAG
rnacentral:lncRNA from 1 species